rfam:Gossypium hirsutum cultivar TM-1 chromosome 26, whole genome shotgun sequence
UGUUAAAAAUUAUAUUCUUUUCUAUUAUUAAAAAUUAGCAUGACUGAUAAAAUAACGUGACGUGACACAUGUACCUCGUGUUAAUGUAUAAAAACAAGUUUUUAAUAAUAUAAGUAGAUGAAAUUUUUAUUA